rnacentral:tRNA from 1 species
AGGCUUGUAGCUCAGGUGGUUAGAGCGCACCCCUGAUAAGGGUGAGAUCGGUGGUUCAAGUCCACUCAGGCCUACCA